rnacentral:rRNA from 1 species
AUUGAACGCUGGCGGCAGGCUUAACACAUGCAAGUCGGACGGUAACAGGGAGAAGCUUGCUUCUUUGCUGACGAGUGGCGGACGGGUGAGUAAUGCUUGGGAAUCUGUUUUAUGGAGGGGGAUAACUACGGGAAACUGUAGCUAAUACCGCGUAAUAUCGAGAGAUUAAAGUGUGGGACCGUAAGGCCACAUGCCAUAGAGUGAGCCCAAGUGGGAUUAGGUAGUUGGUGGGGUAAAGGCCUACCAAGCCGUCGAUCUCUAGCUGGUCUGAGAGGAUGACCAGCCACACUGGGACUGAGACACGGCCCAGACUCCUACGGGAGGCAGCAGUGGGGAAUAUUGCACAAUGGGCGCAAGCCUGAUGCAGCCAUGCCGCGUGAAUGAAGAAGGCCUUCGGGUUGUAAAGUUCUUUCGGUGGUGAGGAAGGUUGUAAUGUUAAUAGCAUUAUAAUUUGACGUUAGCCACAGAAGAAGCACCGGCUAACUCCGUGCCAGCAGCCGCGGUAAUACGGAGGGUGCGAGCGUUAAUCGGAAUAACUGGGCGUAAAGGGCACGCAGGCGGAUACUUAAGUGAGGUGUGAAAGCCCUGGGCUUAACCUAGGAAUUGCAUUUCAUACUGGGUAUCUAGAGUAUUUUAGGGAGGGGUAGAGUUCCACGUGUAGCGGUGAAAUGCGUAGAGAUGUGGAGGAAUACCGAAGGCGAAGGCAGCCCCUUGGGGGAAUACUGACGCUCAUGUGCGAAAGCGUGGGGAGCAAACAGG